AGUGAAAUGCUUUUUCUCUCAAGGACAAGCUGUGAUGGGGAGCGAAAUUUAGUAGCGAAGUUCCUGAUGUCACACUGCCAAGAAAAGCUUCUAGUGAGAAAGUAACUGCCCGUACCGCAAACCGACACAGGUAGUUGAGGAGAGAAUCCUAAGGUGUGCGAGAGAACUCUCGUUAAGGAACUCGGCAAAAUGACCCCGUAACUUCGGGAGAAGGGGUGCUGACCGCAAGGUCAGCCGCAGUGAAUAGGCCCAAGCGACUGUUUAUCAAAAACACAGGUCUCUGCAAAAUCGAAAGAUGACGUAUAGGGGCUGACGCCUGCCCGGUGCUGGAAGGUUAAGAGGAGAGGUUAGCGCAAGCGAAGCUUUGAAUUGAAGCCCCAGUAAACGGCGGCCGUAACGAUAACGGUCCUAAGGUAGCGAAAUUCCUUGUCGGGUAAGUUCCGACCCGCACGAAAGGCGUAACGAUUUGGGCACUGUCUCAACGAGAGACUCGGUGAAAUUAUAGUACCAGUGAAGAUGCUGGUUAUCCGCGACAGGACGGUAAGACCCCAUGGAGCUUUACUGCAGUUUGAUACUGCGUGUUUGUAUCACAUGUACAGGAUAGGUAGGAGCCGAAGAUACCGGGACGCCAGUCUCGGAGGAGGCAACGGUGGGAUACUACCCUUGUGAUAUGACCACUCUAACCCGCUGCUCUUAGCGAGCAGGGAGACAGUGUCAGACGGGCAGUUUGACUGGGGCGGUCGCCUCCAAAAUGUGACGGAGGCGCCCAAAGGUUCCCUCAGAAUGGUUGGAAAUCAUUCGUAGAGUGUAAAGGCAGAAGGGAGCUUGACUGCGAGACCUACAAGUCGAGCAGGGACGAAAGUCGGGCUUAGUGAUCCGGUGGUUCCGCAUGGAAGGGCCAUCGCUCAACGGAUAAAAGCUACCCUGGGGAUAACAGGCUUAUCUCCCCCAAGAGUUCACAUCGACGGGGAGGUUUGGCACCUCGAUGUCGGCUCAUCGCAUCCUGGGGCUGUAGUCGGUCCCAAGGGUUGGGCUGUUCGCCCAUUAAAGCGGUACGCGAGCUGGGUUCAGAACGUCGUGAGACAGUUCGGUCCCUAUCCGUCGCGGGCGUUGGAAAUUUGAGAGGAGCUGUCCUUAGUACGAGAGGACCGGGAUGGACACACCGCUGGUGUACCAGUUGUUCUGCCAAGAGCAUCGCUGGGUAGCUAUGUGUGGACGGGAUAAACGCUGAAAGCAUCUAAGCGUGAAGCCCCCCUCAAGAUGAGAUUUCCCAUCACUUCAAGUGAGUAAGACCCCUGAAAGAUGAUCAGGUAGAUAGGUUGGGAGUGGAAGUACAGCGAUGUAUGGAGCGGACCAAUACUAAUCGGUCGAGGACUUAAUC
rnacentral:rRNA from 1 species